CCUUAAGAAAACAGCAAGGAAAUUCCAAGUGCCCAGAUUCAGCUCUGCAACAUGCCCUGUAAUCAAGUCAUUUAUGUGACCCCAUAGAGAUGAGACAUGCUGUCCUCCUCAUGGCUUGCUUUGUUAUGAUGGAAGGGAGUUAUGGGAAUAAUUUUGACAGAGAACAGAAUGAGGACUGGAGGGCUGAAAUGUCAGAGCUGGUGGUUGUAGUCACUACCUUUCAGUUAAGCUAGCUGGGAAGGAUCAACUCAGCUCCUCUGUGAAGCUCCUCGUCCUUCAAAGCAAAGUGCUGCACAUGUCACUGCACAGAGCAAGGCAAGGCCUGUUUGAUGAGACACCCAAACUAUGAGAGAAGCUUAUCUUCUAAGUAUUGCACUAAAAGACCACCAGAGCUGGGUGGGAAGAAAAGCCAUAGAAGCACUGCAGGAAUGAAGAAAGGUGGCAUGACACGCAGGCAGUGCAUCCCUGGGAGAGGCCACGGAAGACUCUGGCUGGAAAAGGGCACACAGGCAAUGGGAGAUAAAAUUCUUCAAUUCUUCUUGUGGUUUGACUUGUACUGUGGUCAGAAAAAUGGAUCUUUGUCCAUAAAGUUCAAAAGAAGUAGCUCUAACAAUACAAAAACACACGGACCACAAUACUGGUCCAGAACAGUGGUCCAGCAUGUCCAGUCUUUCCUUAUGCAAGAUUUCUCAUUUGAAAAUGAUGCAAUAGAAAUUACAAUUAUUAUAAUAGAAUAAUUUAUGUGAAUCACAGAAUGGUUGGGACACUUAAUUCUCCACUCUCAGGCUCUGAAAGUUGGAGCUUCAUGAAGAAGUCAUGCAUGCAUUAUAUCAUACUUCUUUCUGGGCAACGGCUCAAAGGUAAAAAAAGUCUCCAAACACUGACUACACAAUUUGGAGGGGUAAAGAUAAGUCUCUAUACUUCAGCUUUUAGUAACCAAGGGCUCUGCUGAAACAGGAAGCUCUACAGACACCAAAGAAAUUGGGCGUUUAUUCCAGCAGAGAAUUUGACCCUUUAUUCUUAGUGCAGACUUAUCAGAGGUGUGCGCAUAACAGGAAUGCUAUGGCAAAGUUUCUGGAUUCCUUGUUAACCAUAAAGAGUUGAGCAAGACUUUGGACUCUUUCUCACAUCUUGGAUCUUCUAUCAGUUCUAAUAAAGAAGAAGAAACACAGCUUUUCUCACAGCACCUUCCCCAUGAGUUAAAGACUGCAGUUAUACCAUAUUCACACAGUCACACCACUAUCAUAAAAGGAUGCCUUUCAGUGGAAAGAGUUUCAUUGUUCAAGAACUCGUGCAAAUGCUGAACAAUGAAACUCAAUCUGAUUAUCAGAAAAUCAAACCUGACCACCUCACAAACUGUGUUAUUCAAUUAAAACUUCUCAGCUCUCCUACAUCAUUUCUUGGCUUUUACACAUUGUGCAAAAGACAGAGCUACUUUUAUAUCUCUUUGUACAUUUUAAACUUUGAAAACCUUUCAGAGCAGAGGUUAUAUGAAUCAUCUAGCUUUUCCAAUUCCAAAAUGUUUCACUGAUCAUUCAUUAUUAACUGAGUAAAAUGAAGAUAGCUGUGAUAAAUUUUGAUCUCUCUCAAAGUAGCAGAAAGGAUAUGAAAACAUCUUGCUCAUAGUACUAACUUUUAGAUGACAUAUGAGGGUACAACCCCGUUUUUUUUUCCACUGUCACAUACAACAAGGCUCUUAAUAACCCAAUCACUUGUUAUUACAUUAUUCCCCUUCCUAGGAACUAUUUCAGCCCGGUCUGCCAUUUAGCAGAAAUGGAUUCAAACAACAUAACCAUGAUAGGACUGGUUGCUGGUGACAGGAAGCCUGUCCAUGUCAGAGAUUAGGAGCCUAACUAAUGUCUAGGGUUUUUCCUAGUUCAUGUAUGUUCUCUAAACAUACAUACAUACAUGUCUUGAUUUGAAUGCUCUGGGAAGAGAAUAAGAAGUCUGUGACUGCUCUUAGAUCUGGGAGUGAUGUUUUCCAACACAUCUCAGUAACUGGUGCUCUUUUACUAAAUAUACUGCAGUAUUUAGUGUACUAACUGUACACAAAACCUGAAAAUACCAGGAGAAAACAGUCCUUUUCAGGCAGCUCAACACAGGAACGAAACACAACCUAGAGAGGAACCAUACUAACCCAGGAAUAAAGAUGGAACUGGCUCAUCUCAGUGAGUCAAGAUCCUGGAUACAUCUUGCUCCUCGUCCUUCGGCUGUCCAGAGAGAUGGACUACACUGAAGUUAGAGGGGCUGUUUGAGAUGCACUCCACAACUAUUUGUUGUGAAAAGCCAUUAUACUAUUUUACUCAUUUAAACUGCUUUCAGUCUCACCAUAGUCCCUCCCAGCUUGGCUUCUCCAGGGUCAGGCCUAUGUGUAAGGGAAGCAGAUGGGGACAAGAGCUGUGCAAAGCUGGUCAUGGGCUUAAGAAAGGCUUGAUUCUGUACCAAUAAAAUCAAGGGGAGUAUGGCUCCUGUUUGCAAUGGGAGGUGGAUCAAAGCUUUACGCCAGCUGUUCCCUGCUGGGUAGGGAUAAUCCCUUUGAAACAAAAUAUUUAACUUGUUCUCACUCUGUUGUAAGAAGGCUUCCCAUGAUAAUGCUUUCAUGAGAAUCAAUAGGUGUGUCCCAUUUUUGCUUCCAAAUACCCCUGUUCCUGUAGGAUGUAUUUGCUCAUCCUAAAUUUAACACAAAAACUCCCAACAAACCCAAACAAAAAGGGUUUCCCAAAGAGAGGAUUCUGCUAUUAACCAUGUGGGUUUACAGAAAACACCACAGCAAUGAGUUACAGGGUGGAUCAUCUGCUCAUUCUGCUGGCCAUGACAGGACCUCUUGCUGUUUCCUCAGCAAGAAGAUGCAAUAAAGGGGCAGGUUUAUUCAAACAGCUAUAACUGAGGUGGGAUCCCAUGGUCAGAAAUAAAAAGCUGAGGUCUCAGCAGGCAAAUAAGAUGAUAGAAAACAUAACUUGUCAACAGUCAUGAAGGGAGUAAUGAAGAACAGAGCGUGGGAACAGCAUUAGAAAGACAGGAGCUAUGGGAGGACAGGAUUAACAGUAAGAUAUGUGUCCUGCAGUCUGGAUCCAAGCAUAGCAUUUAGUCUCACUUGCUGUUCCUGUGUUUUGGUUUUAUGUUUUGUAGGGUAAAUGAGGUUCUGAAAGAUAGCUGAAGCUGCCCAGGAUGCUCUACAGGAUGGUACUUGUUAUCCAAGCAAAACCCGAGGACUCGGCUGUUCACAUGAGCAGUGGAUGACCAGACCAGACUUCAGGAUGGGCCUCAAAUUCGCAGAGCUGUAAUUCUAUUUUCUUUGAUUAUACACUAGUGUGCUGGAGGCAGCCUACGCUCAAAGCAGAUAACCCUACUCUUUGCCAUCUUAGCAAUUAAAACAGGUGUGUUUGAGAAUGACAAGAACUAGGAAAAAACAUUUAAAAGCCCAGCCCUUCUAAAAAUCACAGUGUCCAAACGGUUAAUGAACAGUGAAUUUCAGCUAGGAGCACCACCAUGCUCCUCCAACUGCUGUACGCUUUUGACUUUAAUAAUAAUAAGAAAAAGAUAUUACUUACGCUGGAGACACUCCGCUGCAGUUAAAGCAUGGUUAUUUAGCAAACAAUUACUUCCAAAAUAAACUGUUGAAAACCUGCUGUGCUCCAGCACCUGCCAAAUUGAGUUCCUCCCAUCUCCCCUCUUUCCAGAUGCCCUCGGUGUUGCUUACUUUACCUCUUGGCACACACCGUUGCAGUGACAUGUGAUGAGGUGAGACUUAGGGCAGUUCCUAGUCAUUGCUUCCAGAACUGGAAAGAGCUGGGACUCCUCCACAGUCCUGAACAACAGCAACCUGCAGUGGAGGAGCUGCAGCAGCUGAGAAUUUGCUCCCCAGGCAUCACACAGAUACUUGCUGAUUUCAGAAAGUCGCAGAACAAGCCUGGUUGCAGGCAUGGCAAUCCUACCUGUUAGGUGCUUCAUUACAGAAAUGUGUGUUGGAAGACUUGGACGUUCAUUCCUUGAUUACAAGAUGUGUCUCUACAGCACAGGGCAACACUGAGAAAGCUUUUCUGGCCUGAUCACAUGAACCAGCACAUUCCUGUUUAACCUAGUGCUGUGCUCCCCACCUGCUUCAGCUACCUUUAUACCUCAAAUAAGUUUACAUGUGCCCUAUCUGGAGGUCUAACCUUCAGAAAUCUAUAGGCAAAGUGGUAAUUGAUUCAAGUGCUCUUUAUACACAUAUCUUGACUUAA